GAUGAACGCUGGCGGCGUGCCUAAUACAUGCAAGUCGAGCGAACAGACGAGGAGCUUGCUCCUUUGACGUUAGCGGCGGACGGGUGAGUAACACGUGGGUAACCUACCUAUAAGACUGGGAUAACUUCGGGAAACCGGAGCUAAUACCGGAUAAUAUUUCGAACCGCAUGGUUCGAUAGUGAAAGAUGGCUCUGCUAUCACUUAUAGAUGGACCUGCGCCGUAUUAGCUAGUUGGUAAGGUAACGGCUUACCAAGGCAACGAUACGUAGCCGACCUGAGAGGGUGAUCGGCCACACUGGAACUGAGACACGGUCCAGACUCCUACGGGAGGCAGCAGGAGGGAAUCUUCCGCAAUGGGCGAAAGCCUGACGGAGCAACGCCGCGUGAGUGAUGAAGGUCUUCGGAUCGUAAAACUCUGUUAUUAGGGAAGAACAAACGUGUAAGUAACUGUGCACGUCUUGACGGUACCUAAUCAGAAAGCCACGGCUAACUACGUG
rnacentral:rRNA from 1 species